GAUGAACGCUGGCGGCGUGCUUAACACAUGCAAGUCGAACGAUGAAGCCCAGCUUGCUGGGUGGAUUAGUGGCGAACGGGUGAGUAACACGUGAGUAACCUGCCCUUAACUCUGGGAUAAGCCUGGGAAACUGGGUCUAAUACCGGAUAGGAGCGUCCACCGCAUGGUGGGUGUUGGAAAGAUUUAUCGGUUUUGGAUGGACUCGCGGCCUAUCAGCUUGUUGGUGAGGUAAUGGCUCACCAAGGCGACGACGGGUAGCCGGCCUGAGAGGGUGACCGGCCACACUGGGACUGAGACACGGCCCAGACUCCUACGGGAGGCAGCAGUGGGGAAUAUUGCACAAUGGGCGCAAGCCUGAUGCAGCGACGCCGCGUGCGGGAUGACGGCCUUCGGGUUGUAAACCGCUUUCGCCUGUGACGAAGCGUGAGUGACGGUAAUGGGUAAAGAAGCACCGGCUAACUACGUG
rnacentral:rRNA from 1 species